CCAAGGGGUGCCGAAAGGCUGAGAUUUAUCUGCAUAUAAGAUAUGACCCUUACACCUGAUCCGGAUAAUACCGGCGUAGGAAUGGUUAUUU
rnacentral:ncRNA from 1 species